UACGGAGGGUGCAAACGUUGCUCGGAAUCAUUGGGCGUAAAGCGCACGUAGGCGGUCGGCUAUGUCGGAUGUGAAAGCCUCGGGCUUAACCCGAGAAGGGCAUCCGAAACUGGCUGGCUUGAGUAUGGAAGAGGGUCUCGGAAUUCCCGGUGUAGAGGUGAAAUUCGUAGAUAUCGGGAGGAACACCAGUGGCGAAGGCGGAGACCUGGGCCAAUACUGACGCUGAGGCGCGAAAGCUAGGGGAGCAAACGGG
rnacentral:rRNA from 1 species